rnacentral:rRNA from 1 species
AGAGUUUGAUCAUGGCUCAGAUUGAACGCUGGCGGCAGGCCUAACACAUGCAAGUCGAGCGGUAGCACAGAGAGCUUGCUCUCGGGUGACGAGCGGCGGACGGGUGAGUAAUGUCUGGGAAACUGCCUGAUGGAGGGGGAUAACUACUGGAAACGGUAGCUAAUACCGCAUAAUGUCGCAAGACCAAAGAGGGGGACCUUCGGGCCUCUUGCCAUCAGAUGUGCCCAGAUGGGAUUAGCUAGUAGGUGGGGUAACGGCUCACCUAGGCGACGAUCCCUAGCUGGUCUGAGAGGAUGACCAGCCACACUGGAACUGAGACACGGUCCAGACUCCUACGGGAGGCAGCAGUGGGGAAUAUUGCACAAUGGGCGCAAGCCUGAUGCAGCCAUGCCGCGUGUAUGAAGAAGGCCUUCGGGUUGUAAAGUACUUUCAGCGGGGAGGAAGGUGUUGAGGUUAAUAACCUCAGCAAUUGACGUUACCCGCAGAAGAAGCACCGGCUAACUCCGUGCCAGCAGCCGCGGUAAUACGGAGGGUGCAAGCGUUAAUCGGAAUUACUGGGCGUAAAGCGCACGCAGGCGGUCUGUCAAGUCGGAUGUGAAAUCCCCGGGCUCAACCUGGGAACUGCAUUCGAAACUGGCAGGCUAGAGUCUUGUAGAGGGGGGUAGAAUUCCAGGUGUAGCGGUGAAAUGCGUAGAGAUCUGGAGGAAUACCGGUGGCGAAGGCGGCCCCCUGGACAAAGACUGACGCUCAGGUGCGAAAGCGUGGGGAGCAAACAGGAUUAGAUACCCUGGUAGUCCACGCCGUAAACGAUGUCGACUUGGAGGUUGUGCCCUUGAGGCGUGGCUUCCGGAGCUAACGCGUUAAGUCGACCGCCUGGGGAGUACGGCCGCAAGGUUAAAACUCAAAUGAAUUGACGGGGGCCCGCACAAGCGGUGGAGCAUGUGGUUUAAUUCGAUGCAACGCGAAGAACCUUACCUACUCUUGACAUCCAGAGAACUUUCCAGAGAUGGAUUGGUGCCUUCGGGAACUCUGAGACAGGUGCUGCAUGGCUGUCGUCAGCUCGUGUUGUGAAAUGUUGGGUUAAGUCCCGCAACGAGCGCAACCCUUAUCCUUUGUUGCCAGCGGUUCGGCCGGGAACUCAAAGGAGACUGCCAGUGAUAAACUGGAGGAAGGUGGGGAUGACGUCAAGUCAUCAUGGCCCUUACGAGUAGGGCUACACACGUGCUACAAUGGCGCAUACAAAGAGAAGCGACCUCGCGAGAGCAAGCGGACCUCAUAAAGUGCGUCGUAGUCCGGAUUGGAGUCUGCAACUCGACUCCAUGAAGUCGGAAUCGCUAGUAAUCGUAGAUCAGAAUGCUACGGUGAAUACGUUCCCGGGCCUUGUACACACCGCCCGUCACACCAUGGGAGUGGGUUGCAAAAGAAGUAGGUAGCUUAACCUUCGGGAGGGCGCUUACCACUUUGUGAUUCAUGACUGGGGUGAAGUCGUAACAAGGUAACCGUAGGGGAACCUGCGGUUGGAUCACCU